UCUCAUGUCAGCAACCAGCUGUCAGUGCUGCUGAGUCAAAGAUAAAUCAAAGAAAGCAACCAGUGUCAACAGGAAUAAAAGAGCAGUUUGCUGCAGAGCUCCUAAGCUCAUUGCUCAUCUGAUCAUGAUUGGAGAAAAGCACUUGACUGUCAAACAAUGCUGUUUCCCAUCUAAUUCGGAGCGGAGCCACAUUUCUGGAGAGAGACUAAUGUUGGAUAGCACAGUAAAGACAACCUGAAGGACCUGAGAGCCAUCAUUCCCACAGAGUGGCAGCAAGGUCAUCUGGCAAAGGGAUGGAAUGAGUCCCAGCCUCAUAGCGAAUCAUGCUUUCCAAGCUAAAGUCUUAACUGAUAAAGAGUGAUGACUGAGCAGGUGCAGUAAGGGUUCAGUGUCAGGCUCAAGGACACUUCGACAGGGCACAAGGCUGCUGCUGGGACACAGCCUCUUGAGUUCACAGGCCAGAUGUCAGCUGUAGAUCAUACCAUGUGGCCGGGGGUGAUGUUGUACUGCAGUCCCUCUCUUUUAUCACACAGUCUUAGUUUUUUAUUUUUGUAACAACUGCAGUAUUAUCAAUGAUGCACUAACAAACAAGGCAGGUAGGUGCAGUGUUCUUGUGUACAAUUAUUCAGCUCUUGGACUACUGUAAAAUUAUUGUUUGUUUUACAUUCAACCUUUCUAUUUUCAAUCGGCCGUACUGUUAAAAUUAAGCAAUAUGUUCAUAUUCAAAUUUAGCCCUUAGGAACAGUUUUGCUUUGGGGCAGUGGAAAGAUGUGAGAUGGGAAAUGCUUUUUAAAGUAUGUUGCUCUAGCCUCAGAGCUUUAACACGCAAAGAUUUGGAUUAACUUCAAAUGAAAGUAUGACUGUUAAGUCUGAGUUGGAGGGUUUUUAGAGGCUUUUCCAAAUCUA